GGCCAUAGCUCAGCAGCAGAACAUCUGCUUGGCAUGUAGAAGGUCCUAGCUUCAAGCCCCAGCAGCAUCU